rnacentral:rRNA from 1 species
UACGUAGGGAGCGAGCGUUGUCCGGAUUCAUUGGGCGUAAAGAGCUCGUAGGUGGUUUGUCGCGUUGUCCGUGAAAACUCACAGCUCAACUGUGGGCGUGCGGGCGAUACGGGCAGACUGGAGUACUGCAGGGGAGACUGGAAUUCCUGGUGUAGCGGUGGAAUGCGCAGAUAUCAGGAGGAACACCGGUGGCGAAGGCGGGUCUCUGGGCAGUAACUGACGCUGAGGAGCGAAAGCGUGGGGAGCGAACAGG